GGGGNAACCCACUUACCAUAAGGUAGGUAUUGCAACAUGAAUACAUAGUGUUGCAAGGCGAACGAGGGGAAGUGAAACAUCUCAGUACCCUUAGGAAAAGAAAUCAAUUGAGAUUCCCUCAGUAGCGGCGAGCGAAAGGGGAAGAGCCCAUUAAGUCAUAUAAGUUCUAGUGGAACGCUCUGGGAAGUGCGACCGUAGACGGUGAUAGUCCUGUACACGAAAGGGCUUAUAUGAUGAUGUCGAGUAGGGCGAGGCACGUGAAACCUUGUCUGAAUAUGGGGGGACCAUCCUCCAAGGCUAAAUACUCCUGACUGACCGAUAGUGAACCAGUACCGUGAGGGAAAGGCGAA
rnacentral:rRNA from 1 species